rnacentral:rRNA from 1 species
GAUGAACGCUGACAGAAUGCUUAACACAUGCAAGUCAACUUGAACUUCGGUUUGGGUGGCGGACGGGUGAGUAACGCGUAAAGAACUUGCCUCACAGAUAGGGACAACAUUUGGAAACGAAUGCUAAUACCUGAUAUUAUGAUUAUAUGGCAUCGUAUAAUUAUGAAAGCUAUAUGCGCUGUGAGAGAGCUUUGCGUCCCAUUAGCUAGUUGGAGAGGUAACGGCUCACCAAGGCGAUGAUGGGUAGCCGGCCUGAGAGGGUGAUCGGCCACAAGGGGACUGAGACACGGACCUUACUCCUACGGGAGGCAGCAGUGGGGAAUAUUGGACAAUGGACCAAGAGUCUGAUCCAGCAAUUCUGUGUGCACGAUGAAGUUUUUCGGAAUGUAAAGUGCUUUCAGUUGGGAAGAAAAAAAUGACGGUACCAACAGAAGAAGUGACGGCUAAAUACGUGCCAGCCGCCGCUGUAAGAC